rnacentral:lncRNA from 1 species
CUAGCUUUCAGGACUUGCUUUAGCCACUCUAUACGGGGUGUAAAUUGGUAGAAUCUGUAUGGAAAAUCAUUAAGAAAUAUCAGUCACAAUUUAAACGUAGGUCCCCUUUGACUCAGCAACUUCCCUUCUAGGAAAUACCCGCACAUAUUCGUAAAGAUGGGCACACAAGGGGAAAAGCUGGAAACCAGCUAAAAGGGCCACUAAAGAGGGACCGUGAUGGAUCAGCACAGUGGACAUUGCAGAAUUGAACGAGGCAGGUCACGAUUCACCAGCAUGGAGAGAUUUUUAAAAUACAAUGGUACUUCUCGGGGCCUGAUAGCGCACUGAAUUGAAACUUGCAGCUGAAACAUUGCCAGAAAAAAGAAACACGGGUGCAAGCUCUGAGCCCCAGUCUUCCCGAAGUCACCCUCCCAGGCGAUGCCUUUGUGUCCAUUCACAGCUCAGAAGGUGUGCUGUAGGAGGAGAGGAGGAGAAGGUCAUGGGUGGGGAAAGAGCUGGGUGGAAAUUGCUUGAAACAAAAAUCCCCAGGGAUUGACGUCGGCAAGCCAUUCCCCAAUCUGGACAGCAGGUGGCGGAAGUGACCGAGAUUUCUUUGACCAUCACCAAAGGGUCAGCCACCUCCUCCCAGAAAAGGGCGAGAUGAGGACAUUCUUUCUCCCCAAACACCAGCAGUGUUCCGGGCUGGCUUGUGAAGCAGGAGCUAUCAGAUGAGGCAUAAAGAGACGCUAUCAGCAGGACCCGGGCAGCCAGAGCCCAAGCCUGGCUCUCCCCCAGGGCUGGGGCUCCCAUGGCAUUCUUCUGCGAGACA